UGUCACUUAGUUUAGAAGACUCAGCUGGUCUGGAGUUAGAAAGGGACCUUCAGCCUGUAAGUGCUCAAAAAUGUGAGUUCCAAGUGACAUCAACACUGGCCUGAACAUAAAUGAGGAUAAAAUCCCUAGGUCUCCAGUGAAAGUGAAAAAAAAGACUCAUGAGAUUUGAAAUUUCAUCCUUUUCACCACUUGAAGGAGCACUCAAAGUUAGUGCAAGACCCUUCAUGCUGGCCUGGGCCAAACAGGUGUGUCCAACAAAGUUCAAACAGAAAUCCAAACCCCCAAACCCAAUCUCUAUGACCUCACAACACAAAAUUGUCCCCAUCUACGCAGAGUCCCAUAACCUCAUAAAUAAACCAGGGUUUGUUCUACACAGGCACCAGAUCCCAUGGGGAUCAGUGCAAAAUUCCAUAUGGCAUCUGCAGAUUCGGUGUGGGAAAGUCCCGUUUCUGCAAAGCAGAAAUCCUCUUCCUGACUGGUGCAUUCUUCCUGAGAUCCACCAAGAGAGCUUCACUGAACACUCUGCCAGACUCGCCUCAUUGAUGCCAGCCCUGUGUACUCUCCAGGAAUGUUGAGACGCUCCUUCUUUUCCAGAGACCAGUCCCCUCAGCUGGGAUUAUGCUGAGGCAUUUCCACCAAAGGCCCCCUGCACAACAUCAGAGGUUAAUAAACCAUAAGGUUACAAAGUGUGCACUGCUGACACAUCUCUGGGUGGAGAUCUCGUUCUUUUGACUGCUUUCUGUGUCCAGGCCAAGCCAUCCAUCAGAGGAGGUUUGCAGGAUCCCUGUUUGGUGCUGUCACAGACCCUUUAAAGCAUUGCCUUGAUGUUGCUUGAUCUCCAGGGAACAGCCUGUGGGAGUUGUUUUCAGCAGGAAGUUCCCUCACGAAGCCCUGGCAGGAAAUGUUACUUUCCCAGUCCUGGGACAAGUCUGUUGGGUUUUAUCCCUGUUGAUAAACCAAAACACACCAGAACAUGAGCACAGCCACCAGAUCUUGUUCAUCCUCUGCUUCAAUUACCAGCACAGCCCUUGGCACAUUUUUAGCUCCCGGCAGCCAACACCAAGACAAACAAUUCCCAUGCUUGGCUCAGGUGAUGGCAAGAACAAUUCCCACCAAGCACUCUGGGCCACCCUGUGUCAGAGGCUGGGACAGAACUUAGCAGUCAACAGAAUUAGGCUUGGCUUAGUUGCUGAUUUCUGGGUGCAGGGUCCAAAUCUCCCCCAGAACUGUGCUAAAGAAAAAGUGAUCCUUGUGGUCGCUCUCCAAAGCAAACAGUGGAAC